rnacentral:sRNA from 1 species
GUUGGGCGUGGUGGUGCACACCUGUAAUCCCAGCAGCUAGGGAGGCUGAGGUAGGAGGAUCACAAGUUCAAAGCCAGCCUCAGCAACUUCGUAAGACCCUGAGCAACCCUGUCUCAA